GGGGACGCUGGGUAUCGACAAAGGAGGAGAUUGGGCGAUUGCAGGCCGAGUUCGUCUCUCACUCGUAAAAAAGGGGACAAGCCAGUAACUGGCAACACCGAAUACGCUCUCGCCGCAUAAGCGGCGACGUUCCCCAGGGCCUCUCUUCAGUGGGUCUUGACGGAGCGACGAUAAGCUGAGGUGCUACGCGACCUGACACCGGCUCGGGUCGUGGGUAAGCUAAAGCCGGUUGGCCCAAAGGAAGCCUGUCAGUGGGCGGCCAGAAGGCGAGGAGACAAAUCACUGACUACGCCUGGAGCAUAUCGCCGGUUGACUCGCUUUGGACGGGGAGUUCAACUCUCCCCCGUCUCCACCC
rnacentral:tmRNA from 1 species